GUUUGCGUGAUGACUUGGGAUGUCGGAUACCCCUGCACUCCGCCAUGAGUGAGACUCCACGUCUGACAAAC